rnacentral:rRNA from 1 species
GAUGAACGCUGGCGGCAGGCUUAACACAUGCAAGUCGUGCGGCAGCAGGACUGUAGCACUACCGUUGCUGGUGACCGGCACGCGGGUGCGGCACACGUACGCAACUUACCCUUAACUGGGGGAUAGCCCGGGGAAACCCGCAUUCAUACCCCGUAAUAUAACGGAGUGGCGUGCCUUUGUUAUUUAAGCUCCGUCGGUUCGGGAUGGGCGUGCGUCUGCUUAGUUAGUUGGUUGUGGUAACGGCUGACCAUGCCUACGAUCAGUAACUGGUGUGAGAGCACGACCAGUGAGACGGGAACUGGGACACGGGCCCGAGGACUACGGGACGGAGCAGUAAGGAAGAUUGGGCAAGGGAGGCAACUCUGACACAGCCAUGCCGGGUGGAGGAAGAAGGCGCUCUGGGUUGUAAACUUCUGUUAGAGUGGAAGAAACCUGUGUAUUCUUACGCAGUUGACGGUACCGGAGGAAUAAGCACCGGCUAACUCCGUG